rnacentral:rRNA from 1 species
GACGUAGGGCGCGAGCGUUGUCCGGAUUUAUUGGGCGUAAAGAGCUCGUAGGCGGCUUGUCGCGUCGUUCGUGAAAACCUGGGGCUCAACUCCAGGCUUGCGGGCGAUACGGGCAGGCUAGAGUUCGGUAGGGGAGACUGGAAUUCCUGGUGUAGCGGUGAAAUGCGCAGAUAUCAGGAAGAACACCGGUGGCGAAGGCGGCUCUCUGGGCCUUACCUGACGCUGAGGAGCGAAAGCGUGGGUAGCGAACAGG